UUUCAUUUUUGAGUGAACUAACCCUUUUUGAAAAAAAUACUAUUAUCGUCUCCAUGUAAACUACAAAAACACGAAUUUGUGAAAACGGUGAUGAUAUGAUAUGUGCAUGUGUAUUGCGUGUUCAGUCUAUAGGAAUGUAGUUUUCUUUACAAAGUGAAAUUGCUAACUACUGGCCUGGCAUGUAUAAUACAGAGUUUUUAGUUGUUUAGCGGUGCUGUGUAAACGUCAAUCAUUUUGACAAUUUAUACAUAAAUAAUAAUGCUUUUUUUUUUUUGAGAAUUGCUUCAUAACACAGCAUUGCAGUUCUCAUCAUACUGUAAGAUGAUUCUGAGAAGAAUUCUGAUUCCUCUGCCCAUUGACCACUUCUUGCAAGCCAAGGGCGAUGAUGUCAGGGUGAAAGUAAUCAUGACUGUGCACGGAAACUCACAUCAUACACAAACCCACACACAUGCUACACACUCACAAACACAUACUUCCAUUCCUGUGAACAAACCCAAGAGACCAGCUCUGGGUGUAGAGCAAGAACUGUAUCACAGAUGUUGUGAAAGUGUUUGGCACUUUGCUCACCAUAGCAGAGGCUAUAAAUCUGAUGUUGUGGUCUGAAUUUGGAAUGGUUUUGAAGUUAUGGUGACAAGACCUCUCCACCCAAAUCCCUCAUGUGGCUAUGCGUGUGAAUGCAAACUCCUUUACAAUACAAGAAUGAUUGUCAGCAAAGAUGGUUCCUUCAGAGCAUGUGAAAGGGCACAUUAUCCUGCUGAAAGAGGCCACAGCCAUCAGGGAAUACCGUUUCCAUGAAAGGGU